UCUCGUACGGCCUUUUCUUCCUCAUCUGAUUCGACCUGAAGCACAACAGUCUUUUUUGUCAAGAUCUGCAUUAAAAAAGCCAUACCUUCGAAAUAAACACUACUUUACAUUCUUUACAAAUAUCUAAAAAUCCAGCGGAAAAAAAUUGUUCUAGGCUUUUUUUAUAUUAGGACGGUACUAGCAAGAGUUAAAACAAGAUGAAACAUUAGCAAAAAAACAAGGAAACAACCUUGCUCGACGGAAACAGUUGAAGUUUGACGAAGUUUUUUCAAAUAAAAAUAAAAUGUUAAAAUGAAAAGUAAUAAGGCACUUAUUAUAAGCCCUGUGAGUAAGAAAGGGUCGAGUAGGAAAUGAAUGAAAAAAAUAACGAAAAACCUCACAUUG